rnacentral:rRNA from 1 species
GACGAACGCUGGCGGCGUGCUUAACACAUGCAGGUCGAACGGAAAGGCCCUGCUUUUGUGGGGUGCUCGAGUGGCGAACGGGUGAGUAACACGUGAGUAACCUGCCCUUGACUUUGGGAUAACUUCAGGAAACUGGGGCUAAUACCGGAUAGGAGCUCCUGCUGCAUGGUGGGGGUUGGAAAGUUUCGGCGGUUGGGGAUGGACUCGCGGCUUAUCAGCUUGUUGGUGGGGUAGUGGCUUACCAAGGCUUUGACGGGUAGCCGGCCUGAGAGGGUGACCGGCCACAUUGGGACUGAGAUACGGCCCAGACUCCUACGGGAGGCAGCAGUGGGGAAUAUUGCACAAUGGGCGGAAGCCUGAUGCAGCAACGCCGCGUGCGGGAUGACGGCCUUCGGGUUGUAAACCGCUUUCGCCUGUGACGAAGCGUGUGUGACGGUAAUGGGUAAAGAAGCACCGGCUAACUACGUG